rnacentral:lncRNA from 1 species
AACAAGUCAAAUCACACAUCCACUAGACAAUCAAACACAUAAGAUCCACAAGGUACAUGAACAACAAAGGGAAAUAAGAUACAUGGUAGAGUUCAUCCCAAAUCCUAUGAAGGAGAUGAGGGCUUGAUGAUCUAGAUAGAUCCUUCCCUCAAGGGGGUCUUCAUCCACUAGGGAUCUUCUCCAAUGGAGGCCUUGAACUCCAAUGGAGUGGAAUCCCACAAGGGGAGGUACAUGAGCUAAGCUCUAGUGUUUAGAUCUAAUCUUAGCUUAGUCUAAAUGGAGGAGAUGAAGGAGUAUAUAUAGUCCUAGGCAAAGAGAGGGAUAAGUGGGGGUAAAAUGGUAAAACAAGGGCAAAGCCCGCAGCAUCACACAAGGGGCCCUGUGUGCACGAGGUAAGUGGAGCCCGUGUGCACGGGGUAUCUAGGGACCGGACGCAAGGGCCCAUGCGCACGGGGUCCGUGAGGCCCAUGGACACGGCAGUCCCGUGGACACGGUACACGCCCGUGCGCACGGGGUCUUCAGGACCGCCUGCCUGGGAGGCCCGUGGGCACGGGGUCGGAGGGGCCCGUGCGCCACGGGGUCGCCUGGGAGCUGCUGCCUUCUUCUUGGUGCUUCCUUCUCCGCUUCCAGGCUUCCCUCUUGGAUGGUGUAGAUGUUCUCAUGCGCUUGGACUCCUCCAUGAUGAAUGUGUAGCUCCGCUCACACGUAAGUAUGCACACGAGAGAAGGGUCAAGUAGUAUAGCAUCCUCGAAGGGUACAAGUGAACACGUGUAAAGGAGAUGAUUCACCUUUGUAUGCAUGAAGUAGAUGUGGCACGUGUCACUUGCCAAAUGGACUCUUGACAUGGUGAUGUCCAUAGGAUGCUCCGCAUCAUCCCCUCCCCCUUGAGAAAGAUCCGACCUCGGAUCGAAAUCCAAAUCACCAUGGGAAAGAGAUGAUGGCGUCGUGUAGAAUUGGACGAUCACCAAGCAUUCGUCAUCUUGUAGUUCCAAAUGGGCACUCUCCAAUGUCGCACCGUCUUGUAAUUCCUUCAAAAGGAGCAAAGAUAACAAGCACUUGGAAAAACAAAUGUGGUUGUCGUAAGAGCAAAACCAAGCAUUCAAGAGGUGAUUCACCCAACAAGUGUUGUCAUCAAGCAUAGGAUAUGGUUUGACAAAGAAGUGUGGCAUGGCAUUUGAGCAUAUAAAUUGAGCACAAUCAAGUACAUCAUGGGAACAAGCAUGCAAAUGGUAGGUAGAGAUGCAAAUAUGUUUGAGAGGUGAACAAGCAUCUACCUCAAUGUCAUAGCAAGAAUGUGCAAAGUGCUCAACAAAAGGUCUAUGGUAGGCAUAAGUAUCAUACACAACACCAAAUAUAAUGAUAUGUCUAAACACAUGGGGCAAGUGCAAGACAAUCCAAGCAUAAUGUGCAUAGGGUGUAGUGAAGAUAUCAUGGCACUCAACACAAUGGAAAGAGCAAGUGUUCAACAUGUGUGAGGCAAUCAAGUCAAGCAUGUGAUAAGCAAAGGGACAUGGCAUAUGUGAAGAAAUGAUAUUGGUGCAACCAACCAUGUGAUAGAAGCAAGUAAUCCAAAAAUUGGAUGCAACACACAAGUCAUAUAUAUCAUGAGGCAUAGCAAUGUGGAAAUCACAAAUGAGAGCACUAUAUCUAACAUGUGUGCAAUCAAGUAGUCCAAGAUGACCAAUAAGUCUCAUGGUAGAAGCAACACAAGUAGUAUGAUCCAUAAUAUGCAUGCUCAUAGUUUGGAUGUUCUCAAAAUAGAAGGAUAUCACCUCGAAAGCAUGCCCUUGUGCGUUCUUCACAAUGCCGAAGUGGUAGGAAAUGUGGUGUAGAAGUGAGUCAUGGUCGAAUGUAUGAGGCUCGCUCUCAAGAGCUCGAAUGGUCAACUCACAUGAAGUGGAAGUCGACACGAAGUCGAAGUAUCCUACACAUGCACACAACAAAACAAAGAGCGUAUGCGCAUGGUGGAUAAACACAUCAUCCAUCAUGAUGGUUCUCUUCUCUUGCACAUAACCAUUAGAAGCACAAGUGCAUGAAUAAUAUGAUGCAACAAUGGCUAUAUUCAUGGCACUAGGUAUUUGGUGCAAAGAGGUAAGACAAGAAUUCUUCACAAGGAAUAUGUCAAAAUCUCCAAAUAUAUGUGAGAGUGCUAUGGGGGCAAUCUUAUGAGCAAGACUAUAAGCAUUGUUGCACUCAAUACAUGGCAAGUCAUCUAGCAUGAUAGAUGCAACAUAUGGAGAUAUGUGACAAGAAGCACUAACAAUCAUGUGCAAAGCAUGUAGAUGGUUGUCAUCAACUGCAUGAAAUGAGCAAGUAUGAGUCAUUGGUGAUGCAACAUAAGCAAGCCUAUCAAUCAAGUCAUGCAAACUAGUGGAGCGAAGAUGCAACACACUAGAGUAAAUCAUGGCAAUCAUGUCAUGUGAGCGAAUAGUGGAUAUAGGCAAUGGACAUGACAUAUCACAAGCACGAACACAAAGCAAGAUCAUAGUAUCAUCAUAGGAAUGGGUCAUAGAUGGAACAUGGCAAUAACAAGUAAUAUCUCCACCAAGCUUGCAAAUACACAUACAAGUACUAGAAUCAAUCAUCAUGUGUAAUGCGAAGCAUGGGUCACAAAUGCAUGACAAAGGCAUAGGAAUGAGCAUAUCAUGCAAAGUGAACAUGGCAAUAUGGGCAUAAAGGAAGAAGUGAUAUAUAACCCAUAACCAUGUGAGGGCCAUGUAGAAGAGAUGCGAAAAGUCUUUGCACGAAGGGAGCUGUGGGAAAGACAAUCCAUGUGAUCCCAAGUCAUCAUUGCUCUCUAGAGUUCGUUUUUCAACUCAGGGGAUUGUGAGGUUGACAAGUAUUCAUGGGUACCUACACAAAAGAGACACAAACGAAAGAAAUUGUGCGUGUGGUAAAUGUACACAUCAUCCAUCAUGAUGUGUAUGUGCACGUGUGAGUUAGCACAAGAUAAGCAAUGCUCAAAGAAAUUUGAGGCAUGGUAUAUGAACAUGUCAUCCAUCAAGCAAUGGUAGUUAUUAUGUUCAACAUGAUUAGGAUGCAAUUUAUAGCAAGUGUGAGGCACAACAAUAGCAUUUUUAUUCAUGGGGAGCAUAUGGUGCACACAAUCAUGGGAAUCAUGUAAAUCAUAGGAUGGAUCAAAAUCUCCUAAUGGGUAUGAGGAAACUAUGGGGGUCUCCUCAUGAGCAAUAGCGGAAGCAUAAGAUGGAGAAAAUGGACAACAUCCAAAACAAUGCAUAUCCGAAGCUAGGUGGUCAUGGCAUGGCAUAUUAGCUAAAUGAUGCAAAGGGAGCAUAUCAAUAUCAUCACAAGAAAAACAAAUGCCAAUAACCAUGGGCUUGUCAUCUAUGCCAUAUGUGAAAAUUGGGUUUAUUUUAAUGGCAUAUGCAUAGUCACUACAAUGAGAUUGCAAAUAUGACAUACAGGAGAUCUCAUGCAUAGCAUAUGACAAGUCAAGCGGAUCAUCAAACAUGAUGUGACCAACAGAAUUAUCACACGAAAUCCUAUGUAACAUGGAAUCACAACUACUAGACUCCUCAUGGUAAUCAUCAAACUCAUCAUAAAUGGGCAAAUCAUCGCAUGGGGAAAUCAUACUAGAAUGAACCAUGGUAAUAGGUGGAUCAACAUCAUGCAAGCAAUCAAUGUCAAGAAUGUCCACUAGUGGGACAAGAGCAUCACCUUCACCUAUGUCACCUUUGUUGUUCCACUCAAGUGGUGUAGGUGAGGUGGGGAAGACCAAAUCGUGUUCAUGCUCAUCGUGAUGGAACCAUGUGGGGGGUGCAUCACAGUCCACCAUGGCCAUCAUCAUGUCCAAAGGGAGGACAAAGUCAUCGAGGAUCGGCGCAUCAUCAUAUAUGGGACCUAGCACCAAAUGAGAAGACACAAUAGAGGUAGAGGUUAAGUUGUUAGAAACCGAAAUGGCCUCAUAUGCCUCAUCAACUAUCUCACUCUCUCUAUGUGGCGGUGGCUCACUCACUCCCUCAAGAUAGGUGCACUCAAUGUCGCAUAUGGUGGAGUCACUCAAAUCACUCAAGUGGUGGUGGUGGUGGCUCUCCUCACAUGGGAAUUGGGGCAACUCGUCAUAUAUGGGGCUAGUGGUGAAGUCACUCUCAAUCUCAAUAUGGUGGCAAAAGUCACUCAAGUCAUCAUACGUCGCCGUGGUCGAAGGGAGAAUCCCAUGCUCAACCAUCCCGUAGUCGUCGCCGUGGAUGAAGGCCGAAGAUGGCACAUCAUCACUCUCGUCAUGGAUGAAGGCCGAAGAUGGCACGUCAUCACUCUCAUCAUGAAUGAAGGCCGAAGAUGGCACAUCAUUACUCUCGCCGUCUUGUAGCGUGGUCGUUGUGAAGUGAGCUCGGGGUCGAGUAGACUUGGCCUUAUUGAGUUCUUGCUCCGCCUUGAGAGCACCAAAGUAGUUGUCGUCAAGGGACUUGUAGUUCUCGAGAAAGAUACUCUUGGAGAUGUCGUUGUUCAAUCCCAUCAUGAAGUAGAACUUCAUCCAAAUGGGGUCGUCCACGCCGGCAUGUCGCAAGGCUUCCUUCAUGUUCUUGAAGUACUCGUUGAGAGACUUGGAUCCUUGUAUGGUGUUCUCCAAUUGGCGUUGAAGAUGUUCCGUGUAGGUUGGAGGCACAAACUCUCGCCGCAUCACUUUCUUCGUCUUGGACCAACUCAUCUCAUAGCUCUCCAAAGGUGUGUGAAGCCACCAUGUUGAGGCGUAGUCGUGGAAGUUUCUUGUGGCGCACUUCACUUGAUCUACGGAAGGGACUUGAUGUAGCUUGAGGUAGUCGUCCAUCAAACGCUCCCACUCGAGGUACUCCUCGGGUUCUUGAGUCCCAUAGAAAGGAAUCGCAUGGUCGAUGUCGAGGUCGUAGUAGCUCGUGGAAGUCACGGACUUGAGCUUGGGGAGCUUCUCUCGAGCGUAGUCUUGGGGUGCUUGUUGGUGAAGAUGUCGUACGUCCGAAGGCGAAGAUACCUUGAAGUCACUUGGCGAAGAUGCCAAAGGUGCUGAAGAAGAUGCAGCCUUGUAGUUGACGUCGCAACUCUGUAUAGCCCGUGUGCACGGGGGUAUAGGAGGUCGUGUGCACGGGGUCCUGUGGGCACGGGGGUCAAGGGCCCGUGUGCACGGGGUUGGCAGAGCAGCCAACACGUGUCCUGAAGCUCGCUCUUCAUGGUCAUGUCGAUGUCGAUGCUUGUGUGUACUUGCCGGAGGUGGUAGCUCGGGAGUCUUUGCACUUGAGCAUCUUCUCGAAGAUGAAGAAGAUCGCUUGCGGUUCUUGAUGAGGGCCUUGAGCUCCUCCAUGCGCUUGUCCAUCUUGGCGUCGAUGAAGUUCUUCAUAGCAUCGAGCUCGUCGUCGUUGUUGUAGACCGGAGAUGAUGGGCUUUGCCUAUCCAUCACAAGACUCGAGCAAAGGUGAGUAGGAAAUGAGAUAAACAAUACCAAGCUACCUUUUCCCAAAGUUGAGGAUGUAUCUUGUAUCACUCAAUGUGAAAUGAAAGAAUAGUGGAAUUGGUACCGGACUUGUUCACUCACACCUACAAAGUAAAGCUUAUCGAGUGGCUUGGUUAGGACAAGUGGCACAAAUUUCAUGCAAAUUGAAGUCCAAGAUAUUGUAAAUGUUGAAAUAAAUCCAAAGGACUCAAAAUGCAAAGCAAGUGAUCACAAAUAUAUAGGAGGGCAAUAAAGAAACACACACGGUGGGAUAAUGGGGCUUGUGCAACUAUAGGGAUGAGCAAUACAAAAUUGCCUAACGAAGACUAAGCUCGUGUUGCACAAACACUAGGAGAGCACUAGCUUGAUUGCACACUUGGGCACGAUUCACUACUUGGCACCAACCUAUAUGUAUGCAACAAGAAUGUUUCCUAUUCCAUGUAUCCUCAUGCACAAGUAUCUCUUUUCAUGCUCAACUCUUUGCUUAUAAGCUUAUGUUCAUUCUCUUUCUUGCUUAAAAGCUUUUUUUGCUCUUCUCUUCCUUUCCACUAUGAUUGAUGAGCCUCAACCACAAAUAUGCGACAAGUAUCACAAGAUAAGCAUGGGAGUAAACAAUGGCACUAUAUGAUAUAUCCAAUGAUGCAACAAUAUGAGAUCAUAUCACUAUGGUGCACAAGUUUUUGCGAAGCCCGGCAAUACUCGGAUAGCUAGUCUCAAUGGGUAUGAAGGUAUUCGCAAAGAUGGCGGGGCUAUCAAGAUGUAAUGGCAAGGAAGGAGAAGUUUAUGAUGGAAUGGAUACCUUCAUCACAUUUAACCUUUCACGAAGUCGGGGUAACCGGCUUGCUUCCGGUUGAAGAUGGUCUCAAAGGAUGGAUGGUCGUCGUCGAUGUGGAAGCUCGUGCUGGAUGUAGUCGAUGGAAUGAUACAAGUCACUGGUGGUGGAUGAAGAUGCAACCAUCCCUAAGUAGCCGAAACACCUUAGGAGACUCAAAUCACAACUCAAACAACACAAAUACCAAAGGAACCAAAAUGGGUUAGUUUGCAGAAGUUUUAUGUGGUGGUGCGAAAGUUAUGGCGGAGGGCCGAUGCAAAAGAUGCAAAAUGGACAAAAUUUGAUGGAGUCAAAUGGUGGUAAAAGCAAGAUGAGCAGCUCGGGCACGUCGCUAGCUUUCCAACGAGCCAAAGAACACCCAAAUCGGAGUUCGGGAGUGGAAGUUACGGCCAAAACGGUGAAGUCAUGGCGGCUGCUGUAGGGGGGCCGUGCGCAUGGGGUCCAGGGCCCAUGGACAUGGGGUCCCGUGCGCACGGUACAUGUACCGAGGACACGGGGUCACCAGAGACUUCGUGGGGGCCCGUGAGCACGGGUGGGGAGCCCGUGGGCACGGGGUAGGCGGAAAUUUCGUGAUUUUCUUGUCAAAUUCGAAGGGGAAAGAAAAAUUGGGGUAUGGGGACGCAAGAGGGGGUAGAUCUACUUGCUAUACAUCAGAUCCAUGGAUCAAAAUAAACAAAAACUCACAAAAACUUCAAAUCACAAAAAAAUUUGGUAUGGCCCUUUUUGUGGGGAUUUUCGAAAUUGGGCAAGAACAAGCAAAAUUAGGCUAGAAAACAAACAUGGGGCUCCAAUUUCAUGAGAAACCAUGGCUCAUGAUACCAAUAUGAUGUAGGAUGGAACCCUAGGUGAAGAUCUUUCACGAAUUGGAGGGGAAAUCCCCAAGAACAAGAUGAACAAAAGAGGGAAAACAAGAGGAACACUCAAGAACAAGUCAAAUCACACAUCCACUAGACAAUCAAACACAUAAGAUCCACAAGGUACAUGAACAACAAAGGGAAAUAAGAUACAUGCUAGAGUUCACCCCAAAUCCUAUGAAGGAGAUGAGGGCUUGAUGAUCUAGAUAGAUCCUUCCCUCAAGGGGUCUUCAUCCACUAGGGAUCUUCUCCAAUGGAGGCCUUGAACUCCAAUGGAGUGGAAUCCCACAAGGGGAGGUACAUGAGCUAAGCUCUAGUGUUUAGAUCUAAUCUUAGCUUAGUCUAAAUGGAGGAGAUGAAGGAGUAUAUAUAGUCCUAGGCAAAGAGAGGGAUAAGUGGGGGUAAAA